ensembl:misc_RNA
UUGACAUUACUGGUAACUGUUAUCCGCAGAACAAAUAUAGCACAGAUAGCAGCAAUGCAAGCUUCCCUGCACUGUGCCACUAAUGUUACUAAACCCCAUUCUGGAUUGAACACCUCUAGCAAUUGAGAGCGGUGGUUCAGUCUGCAUGUUCAUUCACUCCUUGGCCUUC